rnacentral:sRNA from 1 species
AUUUAUAUAGUUACAAACAACAUACUUUUUGCUCCUGAGAAGAUGGUAAACUGAUCAACUAUACAUAAGCAGCUUGGUUAGAAAAAGUGUCCUUAACAAGGCUUGCACAGAAAUCUGGAGGCAGUAUCACCUAACGACCAAACCUGGACCACCCAAAAAGCCGAAGACCCCUUCAAGACCAUCAGCCUUAGCAUAUUGCUAUCACUGCGCGCAAAAAGGCCAUUAUGGACACGAAUGUCCAGAAAGAGAAGUGUAUGACCCGUCUCCAGUAUCUCCAUUCAUCUGCUACUAUGAUGACAAAUAUGAAAUUCAGGAGAGAGAAAAGAGACUAAAACAAAAAAUAAAAGUACUCAAGAAAAAUGGGGUUAUCCCAGAGCCAUCCAAGCUACCUUAUAUAAAAGCAGCAAAUGAGAACCCCCACCAUGAUAUAAGGAAGGGCCGUACCUCGUGGAAAAGCAACAGGUGGCCUCAAGAAAAUAAAGAAACACAAAAAGAAAUGAAGAACAAGAAUAGAAACUGGGAGAAGCACAGGAAGGCUGACAGACAUCGUGAAGUGGAUGAGGAUUUUCCCAGGGGCCCCAAAACCUACUCUUCUCCUGGCAGUUUUAAAACCCAGAAGCCUUCUAAGCCCUUUCACCGUUCAUCACAUUACCACACGUCAAGAGAAGACAAGUCUCCCAAGGAGGGCAAGAGGGGCAAGCAGAAGAAAAAGGAGAGGUGCUUGGAAGAUGAUGACAAUGAUAACUUAUUUCUUAUUAAGCAGAGAAAAAAAAAGUCUUAAGCCGUCAGGCAGCCUCUGAUGUGGCUUUUCAUUAUUCAUUUGGCCUUUGUGUCUAUAACCUUCUGGCAUUGUGUUUAUUAUCUAUGAUUAAAUAAAGUGAGUUUUUGGUUUUGUUUUUUUAA